GACCUCGUAGCUCAGCUGGAUAGAGCACUGGUUUCCUAAACCAGGUGUCGUGGGUUCAAGUCUCACCGGGGUCA
rnacentral:tRNA from 1 species